rnacentral:snRNA from 1 species
AUGCUCACUUUGGCAACACAUAUACUACAAUUGAAAUGAUAGAGAGGUUAGCACAGCCCCUGUGUAAGGGUGACACACACUCAUGAAAUGUUCUGUGCUUUA